UGGGGCGGAGCCCGCCCGCUGCCUUGGAGCACCUGACUCGUUUUUGGCGACGUGACAGACAUCUUUCUGCAUCGUGUUACUCAGGCACUUUGAGGGCUGCCUCUUUCUUGUGGUCAUUAUCAGGGUCCUUGGAGGCUGCCCCUGAGGCUGGUCUCCCCUGCUCCUACAGAGCUCCAAGAGUCCCAGAGCCUUCGAGUGAGAAGGGCCACCUGCUCUGGCUCAGCACGCGCGAUGGAGCAUCCUGCUCGCUUUUCACUGUGCUGUGAGAUCAGCCUGCAGGCCUGGGAGUGAUUGUGCAUCUCUGGUUUCACGCGUGCUGAAGUGAGCUGCGGAGCUGCUGCGCUGGGUAAGGGGAACACUGCAGCCACUGUGUGGUCAGCCGGGGUAGGGGUCCUGACUCUGCCAGUUGUUCAGUUGGACCCUGGGUCAAGUUCUUCCCCUUUCCUGAGGCUUAUCUGCAAAAGGGGGCUAAUGCCUGCCUCCCAGAAUGGUUCUGAGGACUGAGGGCACUAAGCAGGGGGCUGCCUGGCACACAGCCGGCACUGAGUGAAGGCAGGGGUUUUCCCUGGCCCCCACCACUCCGCUUCUUCCACAGGUGUUCUCAUUGACCUCUCUGGAACCAAGUGCAGCCCACCCACUACACGCCACCCCACUGGCUGAGGAAAGUAGGACCUGGUUUUGUUUUGUUUUGUUUUGAGAUGGAGUCUUGCUCUGUCGCCAGGCUGGAGUGCAAUGGUGCUAUCUCGGCUCACUGCAACUUCCACCUCCCAGGUUCAAGUAAUUCUUCUGCCUCAGCCUCCUGAGCAGCUGGGAUUACAGGCACGCACAACCACGCCCAGCUAAAUUUUGUAUUUUAGAAGAGAUGGAGUUUCACCAUGUUGGCCAGGAUGGUCUCAAUCUCUUGACCUCAUGAUCUGCUCACCUUGGCCUCCCAAAGUGCUAGGAUUAGAGGUGUGAGCCACCACAUCCAGCUUCUUCGUUUUUCCUUCUCCGUAGGUUGUUGGGGUGGUAUUUGGUCGCGUGAGUAAGUUCUUCAGUGGCGAUCUGUGAGAUUUGGUGCACCCAUCACUUGAGGAGUAUAUACACUGCUCUAUUUGUAGUCUUUCAUCCCCGCCGCCCUCCCACCGUCCCCCACAAGACCCCAAAGUUAGGACCUGGUUUCCUGAGUUUGCUGUAGGAGAUGGGUCUGAGCCACUGCCCUGAAGAGAGUUUCACUGGCUUCUCUGAGUGCCAGGAUGUGGGCAUGAGGCAGCUGAUACAGGCUGA
rnacentral:lncRNA from 13 species